rnacentral:rRNA from 2 species
AGUAGCGGCGAGUGAAGCGGCAAAAGCUCAAAUUUGAAAUCUGGCACUUUCAGUGUCCGAGUUGUAAUUUGAAGAAGGUAUCUUUGGGUCUGGCUCUUGUCUAUGUUUCUUGGAACAGAACGUCACAGAGGGUGAGAAUCCCGUGCGAUGAGAUGACCCAGACCUAUGUAAAGUUCCUUCGAAGAGUCGAGUUGUUUGGGAAUGCAGCUCUAAGUGGGUGGUAAAUUCCAUCUAAAGCUAAAUAUUGGCGAGAGACCGAUAGCGAACAAGUACAGUGAUGGAAAGAUGAAAAGAACUUUGAAAAGAGAGUGAAAAAGUACGUGAAAUUGUUGAAAGGGAAGGGCUUGAGAUCAGACUUGGUAUUUUGUAUGUUACUCUCUCGGGGGUGGCCUCUACAGUUUACCGGGCCAGCAUCAGUUUGGGCGGUAGGAGAAUUGCAAAGAAAUGUGGCACUGCCUCGGUAGUGUGUUAUAGUCUUUGUCGAUACUGCCAGCCUAGACUGAGGACUGCGGC